rnacentral:rRNA from 1 species
AUUGAACGCUGGCGGCAGGCCUAACACAUGCAAGUCGAACGGUAACAGGAAGAAGCUUGCUUCUUUGCUGACGAGUGGCGGACGGGUGAGUAAUGUCUGGGAAACUGCCUGAUGGAGGGGGAUAACUACUGGAAACGGUAGCUAAUACCGCAUAACGUCGCAAGACCAAAGAGGGGGACCUUCGGGCCUCUUGCCAUCGGAUGUGCCCAGAUGGGAUUAGCUAGUAGGUGGGGUAACGGCUCACCUAGGCGACGAUCCCUAGCUGGUCUGAGAGGAUGACCAGCCACACUGGAACUGAGACACGGUCCAGACUCCUACGGGAGGCAGCAGUGGGGAAUAUUGCACAAUGGGCGCAAGCCUGAUGCAGCCAUGCCGCGUGUAUGAAGAAGGCCUUCGGGUUGUAAAGUACUUUCAGCGGGGAGGAAGGGAGUAAAGUUAAUACCUUUACUCAUUGACAUUACCCGCAGAAGAAGCACCGGCUAACUCCGUG